rnacentral:rRNA from 2 species
AACGUAGGAGGCGAGCGUUAUCCGGAUUUACUGGGUGUAAAGCGCGUGCAGGCGGUUUGUUAAGUUGGGUGUGAAAGCUCCUGGCUCAACUGGGAGAGGUCGCUCAAGACUGGCAGACUAGAGCAUGGUAGAGGAAGGUGGAAUUCCGGGAGUAGUGGUGAAAUGCGUAGAUAUCCGGAGGAACACCAGUGGCGAAAGCGGCCUUCUGGGCCAUGACUGACGCUCAGACGCGAAAGCCAGGGGAGCAAACGGG